rnacentral:rRNA from 1 species
UACAGAGGGUGCAAGCGUUAAUCGGAAUUACUGGGCGUAAAGCGUGCGUAGACGGUAGCGUAAGUCGGGUGUGAAAGCCCCGGGCUCAACCUGGGAAUUGCAUUCGAGACUGCUCUGCUAGGGUGCGGAAGAGGGAAGCGGAAUUCCGUGUGAGCGGUGAAAUGCGUAGAUAUCGGAAGGAACACAGUGGCGAAAGCGACACCCUGGACUCAUACUGACACUGAGGUGCGAAAGCGUGGGGAGCAAACAGG